rnacentral:sRNA from 1 species
UGAUUACAUAGGAACUAUAGAGCGCAGU